AGAGUUUGAUCCUGGCUCAGAUUGAACGCUGGCGGCAGGCCUAACACAUGCAAGUCGAACGGUAACAGGAAGAAGCUUGCUUCUUUGCUGACGAGUGGCGGACGGGUGAGUAAUGUCUGGGAAACUGCCUGAUGGAGGGGGAUAACUACUGGAAACGGUAGCUAAUACCGCAUAACGUCGCAAGACCAAAAAGGGGGACCUUCGGGCCUCUUGCCAUCGGAUGUGCCCAGAUGGGAUUAGCUAGUAGGUGGGGUAACGGCUCACCUAGGCGACGAUCCCUAGCUGGUCUGAGAGGAUGACCAGCCACACUGGAACUGAGACACGGUCCAGACUCCUACGGGAGGCAGCAGUGGGGAAUAUUGCACAAUGGGCGCAAGCCUGAUGCAGCCAUGCCGCGUGUAUGAAGAAGGCCUUCGGGUUGUAAAGUACUUUCAGCGGGGAGGAAGGGAGUAAAGUUAAUACCUUUGCUCAUUGACGUUACCCGCAGAAGAAGCACCGGCUAACUCCGUGCCAGCAGCCGCGGUAAUACGGAGGGUGCAAGCGUUAAUCGGAAUUACUGGGCGUAAAGCGCACGCAGGCGGUUUGUUAAGUCAGAUGUGAAACCCCCGGGCUCAACCUGGGAACUGCAUCUGAUACUGGCAAGCUUGAGUCUCGUAGAGGGGGGUAGAAUUCCAGGUGUAGCGGUGAAAUGCGUAGA
rnacentral:rRNA from 1 species